rnacentral:lncRNA from 1 species
GGGAACCUGCUGGGAUCCCACCGAGAAGCUUAGCUGCGCCGCUCCAUCCCAUCCCGUCCCGGCAGAGCUCCGCUCCGCUCUGCUCCACCGGGAUCCCACUGGGAUCGCCCGGGAUUGACUACCAUGGUAUCUGAUUGAAUAGAGUAGGGGUAGGGAAGUUUUGGAUAUUCAAUUCCAGUUUAGUAGUUAUUGGGGAGAGGGUAGGCUCUCAAACGCCACAGUCUGUCAAUUAUUUUUCAUUCCUAUAUCAAUUAUUAGAGGGUAGGCUCUCAGACACCUAAUUAGCUUACACUUAAAUGAUGGAUGUGUGCAUAGAAGGCAAUGACAGAUGUCAACUGUUGUGACAUAUGCAUUGCUGCCAUUAUCUUAGUUCCAAUAUCAAUUAUUAGAAGUUAUUAAUUUUGUUUAUCAUGUCACAUGACAGGUAUUUCCUGUUGCUCAAAAGGAAUUUUGUGGAUUCAAUCCUUUUACAAGUAUGAACUCUCUCCCUUCUCUGGUCUUGAACUUGUUUGAGCGAGCUUGAAUACCCACUUUUUCCUUUAUUCCUCGUAUCUCUUCCUUUAAUUCAAAGGGUGCAUAACUGCAUGGAUAAGCUCACACUAACCCGUCAAUUUCAGAUCCAAUUGGAGAUUUUCUUUGGGAGGUAUUGGGAAGGAAUUGGAAUAAUAUCAAACAAUAUACUAAACUGACGUGUUCAUGUUGUGCAGCAUUUGUGUGCUAUAGAAUUAUUUUAUAAUCUGAGGUUCUACACAAACUUAUAAGCUAUGAGGUUUGUUACAUCUCUCACUCUUCAUUCUCAAACAUAGGAAAUUCACACAAAGGUUUAAGUUAUUGACAUCUAUCUAGUCUCUUUUUAAUCCACACAAAGGUAAGCUAAAAUAUGCCUAUUUUGUCAAAUAACUUAUAAAAAUUAGUUUUGAUGAUAAUGUCUUUCUUGUAUUUGAUAACAUACCUUAAUUAAGAUAGUAAUGUGUUUANNNNNNNNNNNNNNNNNNNNNNNNNNNNUAGUGUCAUGUUAUUUUGCAUUUGAAUUAUAUCUCUCAAUGCUACUACAUAUAUAGACCCUUAGUAAGUUGAUUAAUAUGUUUGAAUUAUAUCUCGUGAUUUUAGGCUUUACAAAAUGCUGCUUAUAAAGCCGAUUGGUAUGUUCUCUAUAUAGUGUGCAGUAUGUCACAAUCUACAGAAGUUGUUCAUGAGGUAAUUUUCCCCCGCUCCUAAGUAUUGUUGUCUCUUUUUAUGUAAACCUUUAUGUCACAAUCUAUUUAAAUUAGUUCACUUUUAAUUCACUUUAAAUUAGUUCACUUUUAAUGAACUUUUUCCUAACACUUUUUAUGUAUCAAGCUGUAUCAAUUGAUUAGUACUAUUGUUUAUCUAAUUGGUACGAGAGAGAAAACAAGCUAUAGUACCUGACGAAAUUUGGAGACAGAUCUAAGUUUAAGUUUUUUUAUUCUUUUUGUCCAGGUACGGUUACAAUUUUAAUGAUAUGCAGUUUCCCCAACACAUUAAGAAGGGAUAUGAAGUUUUUUCAAGACUUAGAAUAAUUCAUUAUUGUGUUGGUUCUCUCUAUGUUAUAAUUGUAAUUAGUUUGUAGUUAGUUACUUAUUUCUUCAUGAGUGAUAUUACCCCUUAAAUUAGUUUGUAAAUUUAUUCUUAUGUAAUUUAAAUUGGGGAAAAUAAAUUACUCUCAUUUGGAUAUUUGGUUGACAAAUGCAAAGCUACCGUAUUUUUUAUUAUUUUUUUGUAAAGAAUUGUUUGCCACGAUCUAAUUGUGG